rnacentral:tRNA from 1 species
CGGGGCGUAGCUCAGGUUGGUAGAGCACUUGGAUGGGGGCCAAGGGGUCGCUGGUUCAAGUCCAGUCGCCCCGACCA